CAUUUCGAUAUUAUGGCCAUUCGAAUUGGAAAAAUCGAUUCGCGGCUAAUUGGUUUGUUUUCAUCGCGGCUCUUUUUGGGCACUAGUCCUGCGGCGCAGGCAAUGUCCUGGCAGAGUGCAAAACAAGUGGAGCGCAUUAGAAGUGCUGGGCAAUUGUAAAAUAAAUAAAUAAACCAUAAAACUCACAUGUGAGCAGCAACACAGGUUGUGACUGCAAGCAAGUACGCCCCCAAGCCACGAUUUUCCCACCUUUUGCCGGACUUUCCAUUCAAUAUUCACACACGCAAGGACCUCACCAGUUCCCCAUUCGUCCAGCUCACCGGUUGUCCAGCUGAGCAGGUGCAGUUGUCCACUCAGACGUCGUUGAACUCGGCAGGACAGCGGUUCAUCCAGUGUCCUGGGCACUGUGCCAUUUUCAAACCAAAUAGGGCUCUCUUUCCAGUGCCAAGUGAAUACAUUUAAUCCAUGAAUCACGACUGGGGCGAUGUGCAGAGUCGCGGACUCUAGUGAUUCCCCAGCCUAAAUUACAGAAUAAAUUCCCCAGGUGAAUAGAAAAAAAAAGAAAACACAACUAUGCCGCCAAAGAGACGAAGAAGAUUCCAGGGACUCUACUACCAUUCAUCGCCGCCCAAAGUGAUGCCCAUGAAUGGACAGGCGGGUGGCCAAAAUGGACGCAAGCGUCGGGACAACGAAGAUUUCUCGGUGAAGUUAUCCACCAUCAGGAUCUGGAUUCACGAGAAGGACAUCGGCAAGCUGACGCGCAUUUUGUGGGCGGGGCAGGGCAACCGACUGAGCCAACAGGCCAGCAACAAUGGGCGAGUGAAGCGCUUCCUGGCAGCCGUUCCCCAUGUCAUGAAUGCCAUCAAGGAUCUGCACCAGGCGGUCAUCGACAACAAUCUGGAGACGGUGCAGGCGCAACUGGAGCCACCGGUGCCCAGUGCACUGGUCACCUGCAAGGAUGGCAACGGCUUGAACAUCAUCCACAAGGCCGCCGGACUGGGCCACACCAAGCUGCUGGAGUACCUGGUGGGCAUUUGGCCCGAGGGCGCCCACGAGACGGACAUCACCGGCAAGACGCCGCUCCACUGGGCCGCCAGUGCCAAGAACAACAUGCGAUGCUACACCCUGCUCACCCAAGCGGGCUGCGAUGAGGAGGCGGUCGACUAUAAAAUGAAGACCCCCUCCUACUAUCGCCACAAGCCGCACGAAAUCGAGCGCGCCUUCCUGGUUUAUGUGCCGGAUGCACCUCGCGUCUCCCCCGACAGCGCCACCGAUUGGGAGGCCUUGAGCGACGAGAGUGGAGUGGACAAUGGAGCUGGUGGCGAUGCCAGCUCCAAGAAACUGGACAUCAAGGUGCCGCCGUCUGUGAAUGGACGCAAAUCGCUGGACGACAGCCUUGAGAACACCUCGGAGCUGGACACCAAUGACGGUACGAGUGCCAACGAAGAUGACGAUCUGUCCAAGGCGGAUGCGGAACCGGAAGCGGAAGUCGCCUCGCCAUUGCAACGCCGACCGGAAACGCCGGCCACCUUCAACACGAUCAAUGGCGAUGGCGAUGGCGAAGACAGCGAGGUCGAGGAUAUAAUAGCUUCAGAGAGCAAAGAAACCAAUCCGCAGGAGGGUCAGCAACCAGGAGGCGGAGCACAGCCACCGGAGGACGACGGCAAUGAGUCGCUCACAUCAGCAAUGGCCAUUGAGGGCUUUGUGCACGGUGCACCCGAGGAUUAUACAGAUGAGCGCAUCAAGCGCAUUGUGGAGUCCGGAGACUUGGAGCAGCUGGCCGAGAUUGUGCUGAAUGGCGAGGGCGGCAGCCUGGUGGGCCUGAAGUCGCAGGAACCGGAAAUACAGGCCUUUCUCAACAACGUGCCCAGCUAUAUGGAGAAAAUACAUCGCGUGCACGAUGCGGCACGUGACGGAGGUUUGCUGGCACUGCAGCAGGCUCUGGAUCGCCGGAAGUUUGCCAUCGCCAAGAACGACAUAUCGCCCAACGGCUCCACGCCCCUGCACGUGGCCGUACUCUUUGGUCACACGGAUAUCGUUCGGUACUUGGCGUCCCGCUUUCCGGAGACCAUGACAAUUACGGAUAAUGACGGACGCACGCCGCUUCAUUACGCAGCCACAAUUAAGGACAAUGGCCAUUUCUACAACAUGCUCCUGCAGUUGGGCGCCAAUCCCAAGGCACUGGACAAGCUGGGCCACUCGGCCGAGUUUUACCUGGACAAGGACAAGGCGAAAAACAUUCUCAACUACACCGAGCUGCUGAACAUUUUCGGUGCGGAGGAACUGGAGAACCAGUUGCUCAAUGACCAGGUGCCCGACGAUCUGCACAGUGCCCGGCGGGAGCUAGAGGAUGGCGAAAUCUCACGGACCUUGGAGCGCUGCUAUAGCGUCAUUACGGAAUCGGGUAAACUGCUGAGCGGCACUACAGCAUCGGCUCUAUCCCAUCGCAAGCCCUUGAGUGCAUCCUCGCUGCAGCUUUCGGUGACCAGCUAUCUGAGUCGAUUCCUCAAGCGCGGUGUCUACGAGAAAAUCAAGCGCCGACAGACGCGACUCGAUCACAAUCUGUUCGAUGUCCUGUGGCCAGCGAUGCGGAAGACUUCGAAGGCGCGCCACUUGGAGGAGGACAUCAACUGUGGGAUAAUAGCCCCAGAUUUCGAUGUGUUUGUGGUGUUCCAAGAGUUCCUGGUGCCGUUGCUUAAGGACAUGCAUUGCCUGAGCAUCGAUGCUGAUUUCAAACCGCAACCGCGACUCGCCUAUUUUCCCAUGGACAAUGGGGAAAGGCUGAACACGGCGGCUUUCGUCUUCGACGAUGACUCACUGCUGGUCACCCGCUGUUUGGUCGAAGUUUCCAGGAAUUUGGAUCAGUUGGAGCUACCACUCAAUCUCACCAUUGGCCAACUGGAGCAAGCGGAACGCCUGAUGAUGAGCAAGAUAUUUACCACCCACUUUGCGGAUGCCAUUGGCGAAACGGAUUCGGGAAACUAUUACACCAUGACCGAACUCGUGGAACCCGACUCGGAGGUCACGAUGAUGCUGAGUAGCCUGGGUCUGAUGAUUCCCCUCCUAGAUACCAUGGAUCUGGUGCAGGCUGCCGAGUCAACAGCCUUCAAUGGAGCUCUGUGGCCAUAUGGCAGGGGUGUCUUUGUCAAUUCUGCCAACAAUUUGGCUGUGUGGCUCAAUUGCCAGGAGCACUUGAGGAUAAUCUCCACGAGCAGCAGUAAGGAGCCCGCGGAUAUGGGUGCUGCUUACACAAGAGUGGGAAGAGCCAUAUCCUAUUUGGAAACGCAACUGCACUUCAAGGAGAGCUACCUCUUGGGUUACCUCCAGUCCAGGCCCAGUUACUUGGGCACCGGACUCAAGAUGACCACCAUAGUGAAGCUAACCAAUCUGAUGAAGGAGAUGGACAACCUGCGGCACUUGUGCUCCGUGCGCGGACUGAGCAUGGUGACCAAUCGCCUAUCAAAACUCACCGUGCGUCUUGUCAACAUGCAGAGCAUGGGCGUGGUGGAGUAUGUGCUUUUCCAGGACUACUGCACUGCUGUCACCAAUAUCCUUUCUCUAGAGAAGGACAUGUCGCUGACGAACUCCAAGCACAUUGCCACCAUGCUGGUGAAGAUCUUCAAGCGCAAGAAGAACAGCAUCGUGGAUCGCAACUAGAAGAAAGCACUACAUACCAGCUCAAUGUACAUACCAUACAAUAAAAAGUUUACCUCAGCACAUUAAGUCCCCUAAUACAUAUGCUAAAUUUGACUGAUACCUGCCACGUGCCCUCAUCUAAAAUCUCCUCCGCUUUCGCUGCGUUUAAGGUUAAUCCGCAAUCGUAAGUUCUGCUUUGAGUUACACCUUCAUAGUCGUAUCCGUAUCCGUAUCCGUGUCUUGCCCGAAGACUGUGUUCUUGUCUCGAUUACAUUAUUAUUUGCAAAGUCUCUUGAGUUCAACCAUCGGCAUCCUCAUCUUCGUUUGACUCGUUUAACUCCCCUACCGCCCGAAAAAAUGCUCCCCUUUCGCUUUGUGUACAUAGAUUACUGGGACUCGAUCCACUGAGUGUGACUGCAGAUAUCCAUUGGCCAUUGGAGUGACUAAUCCAGCUUGUUUUCCACACAGGUCAGGCGCAGCCAGUAAGCUUUCAGGCCAAUCCCAUCUUUAAGACGGAGCAGGGAAAAUACCUGGCUGAUUCUCUCGCCGAUCCUUUGAUCAAGGCCCUCACUGAAAUAGCCAACAAGCGACCCAGAGAUCCCGUUGCCUAUCUGACC